rnacentral:rRNA from 1 species
UAGGGAGCGAGCGUUGUCCGGAAUUACUGGGUGUAAAGGGAGCGUAGGCGGGAUGGCAAGUUGGGUGUGAAAACUAUCGGCUCAACUGAUAGUGGCACUCAAAACUGCCGUUCUUGAGUGGAGUAGAGGCAGGCGGAAUUCCUAGUGUAGCGGUGAAAUGCGUAGAUAUUAGGAGGAACACCAGUGGCGAAGGCGGCCUGCUGGGCUUUUACUGACGCUGAGGCUCGAAAGUGUGGGGAGCAAA